rnacentral:rRNA from 1 species
AUGCCAGGCAUGGCAUCCAGCAAGGGUCUUCUUGUGUUCGCUCUCCUGCUUGCUGCUGCUAUCCUCGUAGCCUCGACUGACGAACACCCUGAGGCCAAGAAGGAAGAGAAUGAAGCCGGCGUAAAGAACUUCUUCCACUUUGGCGGAGGCCACCACGGGCACGGAGGCGGCGGGGGAGGCUAUGGCGGAGGUGGAGGAGGUUACGGCGGCGGCGGAGGCUACGGAGGAGGUGGUGGAGGUUACGGCGGCGGCGGCUACCCAGGCGGCGGAGGAGGCUACGGUGGCGGUGGCGGCUACCCUGGCCACGGUGGGGAAGGCGGAGGAGGCUACGGUGGCGGUGGCGGCUACCCUGGCCACGGUGGGGAAGGCGGUGGAGGCUACGGCGGCGGUGGCGGCUACCCUGGCCACGGUGGGGAAGGCGGUGGAGGUUACGGCGGCGGCGGCUACCCAGGCGGCGGAGGAGGCUACGGUGGCGGUGGCGGUGGCCACGGCGGAAAAGGCGGCGGAGGCUACGGCGGCGGCGGAUGUCACUGGGGCUGCUGCGGGCACGGGCUCUUCCAUCACCAUGGCUGCCGCUGCUGUGCGCGCGCGGACGAGGUUCCGGAGCCCAUGUACCGGGCGCCGGCGGAGGUCCGCAACUGA